GAUGAAGAACGUAGCGAAACGCGAUAGUUAAUGUGAAUUGCAGAAUUCAGUGAAUCAUCGAGUCUUUGAACGCACAUUGCGCCCAUUGGUAUUCCGUUGGGCAUGUCUGUUUGAGCGUCAUUACAACAGUUCAGCGUAAGCUGGUUAUGAGUUCUGUUUUUUUAAACAAAAAACAGGCUUUAAAAUGUAUGUUCUGCAGGUCGCUUUGCUAAACCCUAAACAUUAAAUACUGUUCUAGUGAUGCAUUUGCGACUCUGCCUGAAAAAAAACUUUUGUUAAAGUUUGACCUCAGAUCAGACAAGGAUACCCGCUGAACUUAAGCAUAUCAAUAAGCGGAGGA
rnacentral:misc_RNA from 1 species